rnacentral:rRNA from 1 species
UGGGGAAUAUUGGACAAUGGGCGAAAGCCUGAUCCAGCCAUGCCGCGUGUGUGAAGAAGGUCUUCGGAUUGUAAAGCACUUUAAGUUGGGAGGAAGGGCAGUAAGCGAAUACCUUGCUGUUUUGACGUUACCGACAGAAUAAGCACCGGCUAACUCUGUGCCAGCAGCCGCGGUAAUACAGAGGGUGCAAGCGUUAAUCGGAAUUACUGGGCGUAAAGCGCGCGUAGGUGGUUCGUUAAGUUGAAUGUGAAAGCCCCGGGCUCAACCUGGGAACUGCAUCCAAAACUGGCGAGCUAGAGUAGGGCAGAGUGUGGUGGAAUUUCCUGUGUAGCGGUGAAAUGCGUAGAUAUAGGAAGGAACACCAGUGGCGAAGGCGACCACCUGGGCUCAUACUGACACUGAGGUGCGAAAGCGUGGGGAGCAAACAGG